UCAAACACCGGUUCUCGUACAAUCACCGAAGUUAAGCAACGUGGCGCCUGGUCAGUACCUAGAUGGGUGACAGGUUGGAAAUACUAGUUGCUGUAAG